rnacentral:rRNA from 1 species
CUGCCCCUGUCAGGGGGACAACCCGCCGAAAGGCGGGCUAAACCCGCGUACAUGCCACCGGGGCAUCCCGGAGGCAGGAAAGGCUUCGGCCGGACAGGGAUGGGCAUGCGGCGCAUUAGGCAGUAGGCGGGGUAACGGCCCACCUAACCGACGAUGCGUAGGGGUUCUGAGAGGAAGGUCCCCCACACUGGUACUGAGACACGGACCAGACUCCUACGGGAGGCAGCAGUGAGGAAUAUUGGUCAAUGGUCGGGAGACUGAACCAGCCAAGCCGCGUGAGGGAUGAAGGUACAGAGUAUCGUAAACCUCUUUUGUCAGGGAACAAAGGCGGGGACGUGUCCCCGGAUGAGUGUACCUGAAGAAAAAGCAUCGGCUAACUCCGUGCCAGCAGCCGCGGUAAUACGGAGGAUGCGAGCGUUAUCCGGAUUUAUUGGGUUUAAAGGGUGCGCAGGCGGUCUGUUAAGUCAGCGGUCAAAGCCCGGGGCUCAACCCCGGUCCGCCGUUGAAACUGGCAGUCUCGAGUUGGAGAGAAGUAUGCGGAAUGCGCGGUGUAGCGGUGAAAUGCAUAGAUAUCGCGCAGAACUCCGAUUGCGAAGGCAGCAUGCCGGCUCCACACUGACGCUGAGGCACGAAAGCGUGGGUAUCGAACAGGAUUAGAUACCCUGGUAGUCCACGCAGUAAAC